CCUACGGGAGGCAGCAGUGGGGGAUAUUGCACAAUGGGGGGAACCCUGAUGCAGCGAUGCCGCGUGGGUGAAGAAGGGCCUCGGCGCGUAAAGCCCUGUCAGCAGGGAAGAAAAUGACGGUACCUGAAGCAGAAGCACCGGCUAACUACGUGCCAGCAGCCGCGGUAAUACGUAGGGGGCAAGCGUUAUACGGAUUGACUGGGUGUAAAGGGGGCGCAGACGGCGAUGCAAGCCAGGAGUGAAAGCGCGGGGCCCAACCCCGGGACUGCUCGUGGAACUGCGUGGCUGGAGUGCAGGAGGGGCAGGCGGAAUUCCUGGUGUAGCGGUGAAAUGCGUAGAGAUCAGGAGGAACACCGGUGGCGAAGGCGGCCUGCUGGACUGCAACUGACGUUGAGGCCCGAAAGCGUGGGGAGCAAACAGGAUUAGAUACCCCGGUAGUC
rnacentral:rRNA from 1 species